CACUUCUAAGGAAGGCAGCAGGCGCGCAAAUUACCCAAUCCUGACCCAGGGAGGUAGUGACAAGAAAUAACAAUAAACCGGCUUAUGCCGGUUUAAUUGGAAUGAGUACAAUUUAAACAUCUUAACGAGGAACAAUUGGAGGGCAAGUCUGGUGCCAGCGGCCGCGGUAAUUCCAGCUCCAAUAGCGUAUACUAAAGUUGUUGCAGUUAAAAAGCUCGUAGUUGGAUUUCUGUGGGGACGGAGCGGCCGGCCGCAACUCGCGGUUCGAGCUAGCGCUUUCCCUACAUCCUGCCGCGAACCGUGCUACCAUUAGUUUGGUGGCGCCGGGGAUCGGCUCGAUUACUUUGAGAAAAAUAGAGUGUUCAAAGCAGGCCACAUGCCUUGAAUAAGUUAGCAUGGAAUAAUAACUAAGGACUUCGGUUCUAUUUUGUUGGUGUUCGGGACUGAAGUAAUGAUUGAUAGGGACAGUUGGGGCGGUCUGUAUUCCAAAGCGGGAGGUGAAAUUCUUAGACCUUCGGAAGACAAACAGCUGCGAAAGCGUUCCGCAAGGAUGUUCCCUUUGAUCAAGAACGAAAGUUGGGGGAUCGAAGACGAUCAGAUACCGUCGUAGUCUCAACUAUAAACUAUACCAGCUAGGGAUCGGCCAACGUUAUUUCAAACCGACUUGGUCGGCACCUUAUGAGAAAUCAAAGCAUCUGGGUUCCGGGGGGAGUAUGGUCGCAAGGCUGAAACUUAAAGGAAUUGACGGAAGGGCACCACCAGCCGUGGAGCCUGUGGCUUAAUUUGACUCAACACGGGAAAACUUACCAGGUCCAGACAUAGUAAGGAUUGACAGAUUGAUAGCUCUUUCUUGAUUCUGUGGGUGGUGGUGCAUGGCCGUUCUUAGUUGGUGGAGUGAUUUGUCUGGUUAAUUCCGUUAACGAACGAGACCCCAGCCUGCUAAAUAGCGCGCGUGAGCUUUGCUCGCGGCGAGCUUCUUAGAGGGACUCUGAUGCGCGAUAGCACAUGGAAGUUUGGGGCAAUAACAGGUCUGUGAUGCCCUUAGAUGUUCUGGGCCGCACACGGGCUACACUGGCGCCUGCAUCGAGCAUAUCAGCUGGCCCGAGAGGGUCUUGGCUAAUCUUUUGAACCGGCGCCGUGCUUGGGAUUGACCUUUGCAAUUGUUGGUCAUGCAACGAGGAAUGCCUUGUAAACGCGAGUCAUCAGCUCGCAUUGAAUACGUCCCUGCCCUUUGUACACACCGCCCGUCGCUCCUACCGAUGAAUGUUCCGAUGAAAUUUUCGGAGAGCACCUGUGAACUUGGCUCUGCCUUGCGAACGGGAGGCUCAAAGUCACUUAAAUCUGAACAU
rnacentral:rRNA from 1 species